GAGAUUUAGUAAUUUGUGUUCGCGGAAGAAGAAGAGUCUAUACAAAUUGCGUCAUCAUCGGUUCGUUGAAUUUUUUUUAUUCAAGAUUGCCUCUCUUUUGGAAGCAAUUGCUAUGGUUGCUACCUUAGUUUUCUUCUUCUUCCGUUAUGGUUUUCAUUUUUGAUUCUUUUAUAUAUAUUUUCUUUGUAAAUCAAGAGUUCAUUAAUAUUGGAUAAAAGUUGAUAUCUAAUGGGGUGUAAGGUU